UGGGGAAUAUUGCACAAUGGGGGAAACCCUGCUUCCGCGACGCCCCUUGAGCGAAGAAGGUUUUCGAAUCGUAAAGCUCUUUCUUCUGGGAAGAUAAUGCCCGUACCAUAGAAGGAAGCCCCGGCUAACUACGUGCCAGCAGUCGCGUUACUACGUAGGGGGCAAGCGUUGUCCGGAAUCACUGGGCGUAAAGGGUUCGCAGGCGGAAAUGCAAGUCAGUUGUGAAAGGCAGAGGCUCAAGCUCUGUAAGCAAUUGAAACUGUAUUUCUUGAGAUGUGGAGAGGGAAGUGGAAUUCCUAGUGUAGCGGUGAAAUGCGUAAAUAUUAGGAAGAAUACCGGUGGCGAAGGCGACUUGCUGGACACAAACUGAAGCUAAGGAACGAAAGAGUGGGUAGCAAACAGG
rnacentral:rRNA from 1 species